rnacentral:rRNA from 1 species
AUUGAACGCUGGCGGCAUGCCUUACACAUGCAAGUCGAACGGUAACAGGUCUUCGGAUGCUGACGAGUGGCGAACGGGUGAGUAAUACAUCGGAACGUGCCCGAGAGUGGGGGAUAACGAGGCGAAAGCUUUGCUAAUACCGCAUACGAUCUCAGGAUGAAAGCAGGGGACCGCAAGGCCUUGCGCUCACGGAGCGGCCGAUGGCAGAUUAGGUAGUUGGUGGGAUAAAAGCUUACCAAGCCGACGAUCUGUAGCUGGUCUGAGAGGACGACCAGCAACACUGGGACUGAGAAACGGCCCAGACUCCUACGGGAGGCAGCAGUGGGGAAUUUUGGACAAUGGGCGCAAGCCUGAUCCAGCCAUGCCGCGUGCAGGAUGAAGGCCUUCGGGUUGUAAACUGCUUUUGUACGGAACGAAAAGACUCUGGUUAAUACCUGGGGUCCAUGACGGUACCGUAAGAAUAAGCACCGGCUAACUACGUGCCAGCAGCCGCAGUAAAAC